UUUGAACUGGAGAGUUUGAUCCUGGCUCAGAUUGAACGCUGGCGGCAGGCUUAACACAUGCAAGUCGUACGUGAAAGCGCCUUCGGGUGUGACUAGCGUGGCGGACGGGUGAGUAACGCGUGGAUGACCUGCCCUUUGGCGGGGGAUAACCCGGGGAAACCCGGGCUAAUACCGCAUACGUCCUGUUCCCUUGGGGACAGGGGAAA
rnacentral:rRNA from 1 species